ACUACCAAAUACUAUUCGUUUUCCCCUUCUUUUUCUUCCUCUCUAAAUUGUGUUGUCCUCAAGUCUCUAACGCAUGAUUUCUUCAAGCAUCUCACACAGAGAAUGGCUUCUUAAACAGGUUUUGCGAGGCAGGAAGCGAGAAAUGCUGUCUGUUUUCACUGUUUACUAGGCUUUUUCCGUUCAGGUGCUCGUUGCCCUAAUCAUUCUUGAAGGUUUGCAUAUUCUGCGGUGACCUCUUCAAUGCAGCAGAAUGGUUUCUUACUUAGAAGAGUUGGGGAAUUCAGUUGAAUGAGGGAGAUUGCCUGAUAGAAAUACAGGCACUGGACAAAUGAUUUCCUCCUAUAUUGCUAACAAAUCGCAUUUGGAUGAUCAGGUGAUCCAUCUCCGUUUCAGUGCAGACGUUUGGGGAAAGAGGGCCAAUUUUGGAUAUGUUCAAAUCUAUUGGGCACGUAUGGAUAUAUAAGAAUAAGAUGAAGUGGAAUCCAUCCUACGUGGGAGCAGUGAUGUUGAUAAGUACUUUAUCCUGCCUUAACCCAAUCCAAGGGCCACGGUUCAGGUUGGACUAGCACAUUAGAUGCUUUGUUCUUAAUUAGCACAAGAUAUGCGUAUGAUUUGCCUAAUAAAACUCAGUACAAAAGUUUCUCAUUACAUUUUAUAUUAGUUAGUUAUUCCUAUUGAAAGUUAAAUGGGAAAGA